rnacentral:sRNA from 1 species
GGCGGCCUGGGCGGCUGCACCAUGGACUCGGGAACCGAGGAGUACGAGCUCAACGGCGGCCUGCCUCCGGGCACACCCGGCUCCCCGGACGCCUCGCAAGAAGAGCGCAGCCGAGAGCAUGCUGGACAUCGCGCUGCUGAUGGCCAACGCGUCCCAGCUGAAGGCCGUCGUGGAACAGGGCCCCAGCUUCGCCUUCUAUGUGCCCCUGGUGGUCCUCAUCUCCAUCUCCCUUGCACUGCAGAUCGGCGUGGGGGUGCUGCUCAUCUUCCUUGUCAAGUACGACCUUAACAACCCGGCCAAGCACGCCAAGCUGGACUUCCUCAACAACCUGGCUACAGGCCUGGUGUUCAUCAUCGUGGUAGUCAACAUCUUCAUCACGGCCUUCGGGGUCCAGAAGCCCUUGAUGGACAUGGCACCCCAGCAGUAGGGCACCCAGGACCCUGGAUGCUGCCUGCCCUGCAACUCAGCUGCCCGACCCCAGGAGCCGCCGUACCUGUGAGGUGUCCACCUCCCUGCACAUGGCACUACCCAGACUGCCAGAGCCCAGGCUGGCCUCAUCUGCACCAUGUCCCCGGGCCAGCCCUUGCUCUGACUGUGACCAAGCACCAUGCAGGAGGCCACUCUUGUCUCUCAGCAGCUGUUCCCAGGAGGCAGCUCCCUCCUGGCACAUGGGGGCUGGCCACAAUAGCCCAGAGGGUCAGAACUGGACAGCCGCAGAGACCUGUGCCUAGAGAAGGGUCUCGACCCACUCAAGGACACACAGCAGGUCCGUGGAUGGGCUGGAUGAGGGACCAGGGCCAGCCUCUGUCUCAGGACAUUCCAGAAGGACAAGGA